rnacentral:rRNA from 1 species
GACGAACGCUGGCGGCGUGCUUAACAUAUGCAAGUCGAACGGAAAGGCCCUGCUUUUGUGGGGUGCUCGAGUGGCGAACGGGUGAGUAACACGUGAGUAACCUGCCCUUGACUUUGGGAUAACUUCAGGAAACUGGGGCUAAUACCGGAUAGGAGCUCCUGCUGCAUGGUGGGGGUUGGAAAGUUUCGGCGGUUGGGGAUGGACUCGCGGCUUAUCAGCUUGUUGGUGGGGUAGUGGCUUACCAAUGCUUUGACGGGUAGCCGGCCUGAGAGGGUGACCGGCAACAUUGGGACUGAGAUACGGCCCAGACUCCUUCGGGAGGCAGAAGUGAGAAAUAUUGCACAAUGGGCGAAAGCCUGAUGCAGCAACGCCGCGUGCGGGAUAACGACCUUCGGGUUGUAACCCGAUUUCGCCUGUGACGAAGCGUGAGUGACGGUAAUAGGUAAAGAAGCACCGGCUAGCUACGUG